UACGUAGGGUGCAAGCGUUGUCCGGAAUUAUUGGGCGUAAAGAGCUCGUAGGCGGUUUGUCGCGUCGGCUGUGAAAACUCGGGGCUCAACCCCCGAGCCUGCAGUCGAUACGGGCAAACUAGAGUGUGGUAGGGGGUAGUGGAAUUCCCGGUGUAGCGGUGAAAUGCGUAGAGAUCGGGAGGAACACCAGUGGCGUAGGCGGCUACCUGGACCAGCACUGACACUGAGGCACGAAAGCGUGGGGAGCAAACAGG
rnacentral:rRNA from 1 species